UACGUAGGGUGCGAGCGUUAAUCGGAAUUACUGGGCGUAAAGCGUGCGCAGGCGGUUUGUUAAGACAGAUGUGAAAUCCCCGGGCUUAACCUGGGAACUGCAUUUGUGACUGGCAAGCUAGAGUAUGGCAGAGGGGGGUAGAAUUCCACGUGUAGCAGUGAAAUGCGUAGAGAUAUGGAGGAAUACCGAUGGCGAAGGCAGCCCCCUGGGCCAAUACUGACGCUCAUGCACGAAAGCGUGGGGAGCAAACAGG
rnacentral:rRNA from 1 species